rnacentral:misc_RNA from 1 species
CCGAGUUGUCAACACGAGCUGUUGCUGGUCCCCAAACAUCGGGGGCAUGUGCACGCUCUGUUCACACAUCCACUCACACCUGUGCACCCAUUGCAGUUCUAUGGUCUGGGAGACUCCCCGUCUCCCUCCUGCAGUUCUGCAUCUUCACACACACACACCGUAGCAAAGUCAUAUGGAAUGUGCACCGCGUUUAACGCAAUGUAAUA